AUUCCUGAUGUUUUGUCGGAAUCUCCUUUCUUGUAACUUGAAACCAUUGGUUCGAGGCCUACCCUCCACAGCAGGAGAGAGAAGCUUGUUCCCGCUUCCACAUGACAGCCCUUGAGAUAUUUGAAGAUGGCUAUCAUAUCUCCUCUCAGUCUCCUCUUUUCCAGGCUAAACAUACCCAGCUCCUUCAAGC